rnacentral:lncRNA from 1 species
CUCGAACAACCGAAAGUAAAAAAAAUUGUGAACCUACAGUUUGGAGGAUGCAAAUCCAAUGGUGGUCCUCGAUGAAAUCAGCUAUCUAUAGACUAUCCUGAGCCUAAAAUGGGUGGAAAGGAGGGUGGUGAGAUUAUGUAAUCCCAGUGAGUAAACAAAUACCAUCUAAAAUAUCUAAAGCCGAGUAAAUGGAGACAGAUAAAAUAGUUUAACAUACUGUAAUUCAUCACCUUUCAACUCAUUUCAAUCAAAUAAAAUCAAUUCAUAUAAAUCGAGUAAUCAACAUGGCUUAUGAAUUUCUUAAAACCCGACCCUAUAAAUACAUGUCAUGACAUACAUGCACUGAGUAGUAUGUUAUUAUGCUAGGAAAGGCACCUAAGAAUAGACGAAACUCGGUAUUGUACCUAAUGGUACACUUGAGUUGAUUUAACCUCGAACUAGUUCAAAUAGGAAUUGUAGGAUGAAAUUUAAUAUUUUAUAGUCCAGGAAUGACUAAAAAUGAUUGUUCGGAGUUCGAGGGUUCAUUUGGGGUAAAAUUAGAAAUUUUGAUAUUCAAGGGCAAAAUCGUUAUUUUACCACCUAAGAUAAUAAUUUGAUCAUGGAGUGAAAUUUUUGACCAAGAUUAACUAUUUGGAGUAUAAUUUAAUGAUAGGAAGUGAAAAAGUUUAAUUCUGGUGAUUUUUGGAGUGUAGGGGCAAAAUCGUAAUUUUGCCACCCACGGACAAAAUUUGAGAUUUUGAGAGAAUUUAGAUCAAAUUUGACAAAUUGGAGAAUGGUAUGAGUAUAAGGGAUGAAAAAUAUGUCUAUGGGCAAUUUUUCAGUUUUUGGGGCAAAAAUGUAAUUUUUGACUUUUACGAGGGCAAAAGUGUAAAUUUCAAAAAAUUACUCCACCGAGACUUUGGAUAAGUCUGAGAAUUUUAUCUAAGCUAUGGAUAUGUGGGACAAGUGUAUGGUGAAAAUUUGGAAACAAAUGGAUGAAAUUUUAAAAAUGGGCCAAUGGGAAAGUGACACGUGGCAUUUUUUAAUGAAAUAAUAUUAUUUUAAUGAAAAGUCAGCCCAUUUAAACCCAAAUUUUGAGUGCUGGCCGGCCAUAAGGAAGAACAAGAGAGGAAAUAGAGAGGAAAGGAAGAAAAAAAGAAAAACCAAAGAGAAACAAGAAAAUUCAAAGGGAAAUUCGCGGUUUUCGACCGUUUACGCGUCUAACGGUAAGAUUUUUCGAUUUUAGCUUGAUUUCUACCUUUCCUAUGCCUUUAUUUCCAUUUAGCAUGCUUGAGGAGAGAGAUCAAAAAGUGAUAUCAAGGGCUGGACGAAAUUCUAGGGGAGAGAAAUUGAAAUUUUUAGGUUUUGAUUUUUAGUUAAAUUGAUAGUUUUAGUUAGUUAAAUGUGUUUAGAAAUUAAAUUGGGCAAGAAAUCAUUAAAUUUUCACAAUACCCACUCUUGGCUGGAUGCUCAAUGCUGUACAAUGAUGAUGAAUUGAUUUUAUUCUAAGGAAAAUGAAGAGAAAAUGAUGAAAAACGAUUAAACGUGAUAGAAAAACAAAGUAGAAAAUUAACCGAGUUAAUGUCCCAUUUUUGGCCGAAUUUUCCAAGGAAGGGAGUGAGCUGAUUUUGUUGUUUUUAGAAGGUUAUUGGCUGAUAUUUAAUGGUUAGAAAUGUUGGAGAGAGAAUGGGAUGAUUUAGAGCUAAAAUGGAGCGCGUUAGCAAUUUAUCGGGCAAAGUGCCAAAAAUAGGUUAAUACCGCGUUUAAGCCGUUUUAGGCUAUUGCAUUUCAUACCAUGCAUUAGUAUAGGAUUUAAGUUAAUUAUAUAGUGAUUUAGCAUCAAUGUGAUGAAUUGUGUAAAUUUUUGUAAUGUGUCUAGGAGGAGAGCCUUCCGGAAAAGGCAAAGAAGUCGUACCCGACGAGUAGUGAUCGGGGCGCUUAGAAAGCUUUUAGUUUGUACAAACGGUGAGUAAACUUAUUAUUAUUGUAAAUUAUCUAGAGUUUAUUUUUAAAUGCCCUUUAUGUAUUUUAUGAAAUGAAAACGAGAUUAAAACGGGAUUUUUGAUGUUUUAGGAAUAAAUGUGACAAAUAAAAAUAUAUUGUAUUGAUUAUGAAAUUGAGUAAUUGGAGGCUGCAAAUUGACUUGAAAAAUAUAUAUUUUCCUAGGAAUGGCUUAUGAGAAAUGAGUAUAUGUGGCUAUAUUUUGUGAGUGCAUUGGGAAAUUUAUGUAAGUUGUUUUUACUAUGCAGGCUGGAUAAAUAAAUAAAAGCCACGUUAUACUGUCGAAAUUUUAUUAAAAUUGGUGGGUUAGUCACUGCAGUGACGGGUUUCCGUGGACUGCCUAUUAGAGGGGCACGGUAAACCCAGUUAUAUAGUUACUCCGGUUGUAGAGGCGAGGAGGGUAACUCCUGGGGUAGUAUUAGAGCUCACUUCACGUCGAACCCCCACGUGAAUGUGUAACUCGGCCAACGCCAAGGAACGGCUGGUUUUAAAAAUAAAAAUGUGUUUCACGUGUGAAUAUUUUAACACCCUUGGCGGACUCGGUUAGAUGCCUCGGCCAAGGUAUCCCCGAGGAUUAGUUUUGGCUUGAGCCUUGUUUUAAUAAAAGACAUAAGCCUUAACAACUGUUUUGGUAAAUUACAAAUAUUUUAUGGUUUAAGAAAUAAAUUGAAAACAUUAUGAAAUGGGUUGAAAUUUGUUGUUUAAACUUGCCUCCAUUUUACUCGCCUUUAGAUAUUUAUGAUAAUGUCUGUUUACUCAUUGGGAUUGCAAAAUCUCACCCAACUCCUUUCCACCCAUUUCAGGUUCAGUAUAGACUGUAGAUAGCUGAUCUCAUCGAGGACUACCAUUGGAUCUGCAUUUUCCAAACCGUAGGUUCACAGUCCUCUUUACUUUUGUUUAUUCGGGGGCCCUCUUGUUAUUGUAAAUUAAAUUAAAUAUUUUGGCUUACUGUAUUUCAGUAUGUAUAAAUUUAUUUAGCUUUUACGCUAUAAAAAUUAUUCACGUAUAACUCUAUAAAUAUUGUUUUAUAAGAAAAUAGAAUAUUUUCCUUAAUAUUUCUUUUAUUUUCUUAUUAUAUUCAAAUAACCGUAAUUUCGUUUUAAAUGAAGAUUUUAGACUUUUAAACUCAUUUUGAAUAUGAAUUAUGUGUUUUGUACUUGUAUAUUACGUUUUAGCCAGUUUCGAAAUUUUUGAGAAAAAAAUGACCAAAAUACCCCUGUGUGGCGAAAAUUUUAUUUUGAUUGUUUUUGAUCUAAAAUAGUAUAUAUUCUCUAAAAACUCGAUAUUUAACAAUGAUUUCUCACAGGAAAGGAAAGAAACUAAUAUGUAAGCCUUGUGGAGUUUCGGUUGGCAUUCCGGAUAAUGAGUGUCAAUCGGGACGUCACGACGAUUGUCAUGGGCCUGAGGGAGGUUCCGGGUCGCGACAAAUUUCUUAAAAGCUUUGGCUCGUGCUAAAAAUCAUUUUUAUACCCAGUUAUCAAGGAUGCCUUGAUCAAGGGCUAUCCCAACCAAGUCCGCCAAGGCUGUUAAAAAGUUAUGUACGCGUAAAUCAUGUUUUUAGUUUUAAAACAUGGCCGUUCCUUGGUGUUAGUGGAGUUCAUCAUCACGAGGUGGUUUGGCAUGAAGAGAACUCUAAAGUUAUACCUCGGGAGUUACCCUACUCGCCUCUCCAACCGAGGUAAAAUAUGACCAGGUUUCGUACCCCUCUAAUAGGCUAGUCCACAGAACUAGCCCACUGCAGCAAGCUAAACCCACCAUACAAUAAAAAUUCAACAGCAUGACAUGGCAAUUUUAUCAUUAUCCAGCCUAUCAAGGCAAACAACAGUUUAUACAUUUCAACACAAAUACCAAUUCAACCAUUCAUGCUAAUAUUAUCAUAAGCCAAUCAAUUAGAAUCAUGAAUUUACAACAUGCAAAAACAGUCUCCAAUUACUCUAUUUUCAAACCAUCAUUCAAUUUUAAAACAAUUUUAUAAAAUCAAUUUAUUAAAUCAUAUUUUGUUUAUAAAACUGAAAAAUUGAUCAUUUAAUUCAUUUUCCAUGAAAUUCACAAAAUCGAAUAAAAACCACUUUAGAUAAUUAAGAGGAUAGUAAGGUUACUCACAAUGUCUAGAGUGUGGAUUUUCGAAGUACUCUGACUACUGGUCCUCGAAUGAAAUUUCAUUGCCUUUAUCGGAGGACUCACCACCUUGACAUAGUACAAAAUCGAGAAACUUACUACAUUGGUACUAAAUCGAAAUUAAACUAAUUUAGACUACUAAUGCAUGAUAUGGAAUGCAAAAUGCACAAGUAACCAUCUAAACCCGGUAUUGGCCUAAUUCUUCUUAUCAUCCAAUUAAUUGGCCAAUGCAUCCAAUUUAGCUCUAAUUUGCUCCAUUUCUUUUCCAAUACCUUAAUUCACCAAACACAAGUCAAAUAACCUAAAAUUUGGCAAAACCAUCUUCACUUUUCUUCUUAGAAUUUUCAGUCAAUAAUGGUGCAUUAACACCGUGAUUUUUCCUACUACUUUUCCACACCAUAAUUCAUCAUUUUCUAACCAAUUCUCUUAAAAUAAAAAAUCGAAUUCAUCCUCACUUAAUACAAAGUAGGUUCGGCCAUUGAUGGGUGAUGGGAAAAAUGAAUUCUUUUCUUGUUGUUUUGCUUCUAGACAUGGUAAACUAACUAAAAAAACUAACAGAACUUGAAAUCAAAUCAAUCCAACAUCAUUCUCUCUCCAUACCCAUUCAGCUAGCCAUGAAUUUACCAUGAAAACAUGAAAUUUAACCAUGGAAAAUAAAGAGAAAUGCUUAAGGAAAAUAGAUUUCAAGUUUAAAUUGAGAAAUCCUACCUUUUUCACUUAUUUUCCUUGAUUUUCCACACUUUUUCUCUUGAAAUUCUCCACCUAGGGUUCUUGUUCUUUCUUUUCUUCCUUUGUUCUUCUUUGGCCGGCCAUAUGAAUGAG